rnacentral:rRNA from 1 species
GGGUGCGAUAAUACUAGAACUAAUGCACCGGAUCCCAUCAGAACUUCGAAGUUAAACGUGCUUGGGCGAGAGUAGUACUAAGAUGGGUGACCUCUUGGGAAGUCCUCGUGUUGCACCCU